rnacentral:rRNA from 1 species
UACGUAGGGGGCAAGCGUUGUCCGGAUUUAUUGGGCGUAAAGGGCGCGUAGGCGGUCGUGACAAGUCACUUGUGAAAUCUCCGGGCUCAACCCGGAGCCUGCAAGGGAAACUGCCGUGCUUGAGUGUGGGAGAGGUGAGUGGAAUUCUCGGUGUAGCGGUGAAAUGCGUAGAUAUCGAGAGGAACACCUGCGGCGAAGGCGGGUUGCUGGGCUGAUACUGACGCUGAGGCGCGAAAGCCAGGGGAGCGAACGGG